UACGGAGGAUCCAAGCGUUAUCCGGAUUUAUUGGGCUUAAAGGGUGCGUAGGCGGCCUAUUAAGUCAGGGGUGAAAGACGGUAGCUUAACUAUCGCAGUGCCUUUGAUACUGAUGGGCUUGAAUAUACUUGAGGUAGGCGGAAUGUGACAAGUAGCGGUGAAAUGCAUAGAUAUGUCACAGAACACCAAUUGCGAAGGCAGCUUACUAAAGUAUGAUUGACGCUGAGGCACGAGAGCGUGGGGAUCAAACAGG
rnacentral:rRNA from 1 species